rnacentral:lncRNA from 12 species
UUUAGAUAACGCACACAGGCUUUGUUUUGGUUUCAAACCUAUCUCAUGUGGAUAUUUUCACGGACUACAGUUGCUGUGCUCCUUUAAGGAGUGAAAAGAGGAGGUUAAGGGCUGCUGGUCAGGUUGCUGCUCUGCCACUCAGCUGGCACAAGGUGUGGCUAUGGGGGGAGAGCAGACUGUGUGUGUUUGCACAGGAGCAGGGUGAAGGAUUGAGGUCACCUGCCCCAGGCACGUCACAGCUUUGGUGAACCAUGAGGGGAGAGUUUGGUGAAGUGGAUGUUUGGAGUCAUGGCACAGAUGUUGAGUCAGAAGACUUCAGAGAGAGAUGUCAACACAGCUCUCCUCCCACAUGUGGGUGAGAGAUAGUAUUUGGGGGAAAUAACCCUGCCUUGGCCUUGCCAAAUAAUGGGAAAACCAAAC